rnacentral:rRNA from 1 species
UAUAUUUUACAAUGGGGGCAACCCUGAUCCAGCCAUGCCGCGUGUGUGUAGAAGGUCUUCGGUUUGUAAAGCACGUUUUGUUGGGAGGAAGUGCUUUAGGUUAUUAUUCUGUAGUUUUGACGUUACCAAUAGAAUAAUCACCGGCUAACUCUGUGCCAGCAGCCUCGGUAAUACAGAGGGUGCAAGCGUUAAUCGGAAUUAUUGGUCGUAAAGCGCGCGUAGGUGGUUCAGUAAGAUGGGAGUGAAAUCCCAGGGCUUAACCUGGGAACUGCUUUAAUAACUGCUGAGAUAGAGUACGGUAGAGGGUAGUGGAAUUACAUGUGUAGCGGUGAAAUGCGUAGAUAUAGGAAGGAACACCAGUGGCGAAGGCGACUACCUGGACUGAUACUGACACUGAGGUGCGAAAGCGUGGGGAGCAAACA